UGCCAGGGCUUCCCCAGGACAGCUGUGACCUCAUCUGCCAGCAGAGCAGGCCGGGGGACAUCCUGCGUGACUCAUCGGUGGGCCCCGCACCAGGGGCUUCCGGGCCCAGGAGAAACCAGACACAGAGGCCCAUUGUUUGCUCCGGAAGCCCCCCCUCUCACGCUGCAGCCUCAAAGGGGGCGUUUGUGUGUUCUUGGUUCUCUGUGGCUAGAGUCCUCUGGGGCGUGGGGGCCCCUGCGGCAGGAGGAAAGUCAGCAGCCAGGCACUCACCCUUGAACCCCAAAAGUACACCCCUGAUGUGGGACCCCCUCUUUCUCCCUCCUGGCUCCAAAAAAAGAGUGAGUGAAAAGGUUGUGGGUCAGCAGAGGAAUCAAAGGAUAUAAAAGAGCAUUUACAGGAAGCAAAAUCCAAACGACUAACAAGUUCGUGAAGAGGUUGUAAACCCUGCUAGCUAUCAAGGAAAUGCAAAUUAAAACAAUGAAGUACUAUUUCACACCCAAGAGAUUGGCAAAAAUGACCAAGACAGAUUCAAAACCCCAGGUACAAGAGUUUGACUGGUCAAGCUACCCCCUGGCUGAGGAGUGAGGAGUGGACAGUAACUUCAUCUUCUAUGGUGCGAAGUAGGCUCUCCUUUCUUGGGGGUCGUCCAGCAGAGGAAGAGCAUGGCCGUCACCUCUCAGGUAGACUCCCCCGUCUUGGCAAUGGUGACUCCUGGGGCCCAGCAUUCCCAGUGUGCAUCAGAUCCAACCAGUACGGGUUGAGGUCUCUCUGACCUGCCUCAGGAUGUCUGGAGGACUGGUCACUCUUUGGACCUGGCCUGUGCACUCUCCAUUUGUGUUGAUGACAAGCAACUGUGCCUCGUUUCAUCCCAGAACUGAGUCCCCCACCAAGCCUUAACAGACACACAGGCAUUUGUGUUCCAUACCUUGGGGUUUCUGACACUCCAUAUCUGGUACGUGGCUCAUAGACUUCAGCUUAACUGGUGUUUUGCUCCUCUAGCGAAUGUCCACCCUCAGAGUCAUCAAAUGGGGCAUUUCUUCUAUGAUUUUACAAGAUUCCCUAUAACAUUGUUUGGUUCUGCUGAACAAGGACAUGAAGAAUCCCUGGUCUAGGCUGGGCAGGGCUGGGAAUGAGGAACCCGGAGCAGCAGCCUCCCAGCUGAAAAUAGUCAGUAUCCAGAGGGACAUCUGGGAGGCCAGGAGGAUAGGCCAGAGACUGCUCUCUUGGUCCUGCAUCUAGAGGCUUCUCUCCUCUCCCGUGGCUCAGGGGAUGGGCCUGGGGAGGCGUGGGGUGCCAUCCCCGUCACAGUUCUGCUUCCAGACUCCUGCCCCGGUUGACUCAGCCUGCUUUCUCCAGCAAACUGAAUUUUGGCCCUGAACAUGGAAGAGGGUUCCUGAGCAUUCGCUUGACCUGACAACCACCCCACAACACCAUAAGGGUCUGAAGGGGAGGAGCAGAGCCCAGAGGCAGCUACCAUGAAAGCUUGAUCCUCAGAGCUGACUCAUGGGCUCAGACCCCCCAGGGCUUCUAGGCUCAGCUAACUGCCCACCUUAGGAUGAGGAAUUUGCUCCCCGAACGAGGGGGAUCAGAUUGCACAUUCCUGAGGCCUGAGUCACUCCCGGAUCUUGCCUAUUUUCGGGAAUGUGUUUGUGCUAAGGCUGGGAGGAGAGCUGAGGGCCUGGAGGGAUUGCACACUCCACAGGCAGUUCACUCCGUGUCCAGCUGGCCUGGGGCGGGGGAUGAGGGCCCUCCCCCAACAAAGACGAGAGGGACAAGGCUGUGACCUUUGGAGCCACUGAGAUGCGGUUCUGAAUGGGCCCCAGAGGACCAGAGAAGGAAGAGGUCAGACUGAGGCAAGAACCCGAGCCUUUGCUUUGUCCAGAGUUGGCUUUAAUUUGAUCCCAUGGGACAAAGAGUGGAGAGGGGCCAGUCCAAGCAGGGCUCCCUUGCCACAGCCCUGGGAAAAGGACUUGGUCCCUCCCCACCUCCUUCCAGGAAGGACAACCUCCUGGAGGGCACAGAGAGCUGAGUGAGGGUCUGGUUGCUCCUGGCUCCCCCUGAGCCAUGGCUGUGAAUCCUAGCCCCUCGCCCACCUUAGGGUGCUCCAUCCAGGGUGCUCUGUUGAGAUGCUCCUUUUCUGUCUCCAGCAUGAUCCACGCAGCUGUGGAGAGAACCCCCGCACUCCUCAGUAAAUCGGCUGCUGUCACAGAGGGCAUAUUCAGGCACACACUGUAACCAAGCCCUUUGUGUUGUGUGGCCAUGUGCCCUGGUUUGCCUGGAUUGCUGGACAAUUAUUAAUAGUACCUCUUUUCCCUCUCAAAAAUGUCCUGGUUUGGAAGAUAGGUGUAUAUUCACUCUAAUUUUAUAGAUAUUAUUUUAUUUAGUCCCCGCAAUGCCCUACAAGAGGGGCUAAGAGCCCCAUUUUAUGAUAGAGAAACCAAGGCUUACAGAAGAGAAAUAACUUGCCCAAGGUCAUACAGUUGGAAGUGGCAGAUCCGGAAACUGUUAGGAACUCAGCUCUUGACUUCAAAGCCCCUUGACUUAGCCACAACACAAAUUUCCUCUCCUUUGAUGCCUUGAAGGAGUGAGAAUCCAGUAUCUCCAAAUAGUAGAGAAAUAACAAUUAAAGUCCUGGAGUUAUCUUGGCUCUCCUCCCAGCCCCACACUUCGGCUAUCUUUGGCAUGUUGUUCCCUUUUUGAGAGACAGCGUGCACAAAUCUGAUUUGCUUGUUGGCGGUGGAGGUAUCAUAAUCAUCAGACGAACAAGCAUCGCUGUGCCUACCGUGUGCCAGGCGUUGCAUCCAAUCCUCACGCCAGCCCUGCAGGCAGGAUGUUUUGGUCCUCCUUGCACAGAAAGGAAACUCCCCAAGGUCAUACAGCUGCAAGGAGUCAGAGGGGUCAGAACGUGGAGAUCCCAGCUUUGAGCCAAGUGAACUCUGCGCAGGGUGCCAUUUCGGAAGCUCACCAAUGGAGCGCUGUGUGGGCUGCAAGGGAAUAAGGUUCCACUGCGUGUAUGGCAGAGACAAAUGGCUGAACCACUUUAUGGACCCAAAGACUCUCAAAGUCCCCAGGCAUCUUGGCUACCGAGGAGCCAGGGCUGUCUUGCCCAAGAGCACAGCAAUAAGCCCCAUGAGUUGGUCUGAGGCCCAUACACAGAUGGUCUUCAUUUGCUGAUACAUCACAUUUAAAAGGUUUCCAGACGGCGCUUUUAUUUCUUUGGUGGAGAGAUCAGACAAUGUUCAGAGCAGAGCAUGUCCACCCUGAAGGUAGAAAACAAACCGUUUCUGGAGACCAGAACUCCCUGCUCCAGUUUCUGCACCCAGAGACCAGCACACUGUGAGAGCCUCUUCCCGCCCCAACACCCUGGUCCCUGGGGGAGAGAGAUAUAAAAGCAAGCACAUUCCAGAUGGUCCAGGGAAAAGGGGAUUUGGGAAAAGGAUGUUUGUUCAAAAUUUACCAAAAAUAGAUAACCAAGGGGAGGAAGAGUCCACCUCUUGACCCAUUUAAAAAGCUAUUUCCCAGGAAAGACUUUCUAAGUAGUGGACAGUCACAAGAGGAAAAACCAGUGGCUUUGACAAUGUAAAAAUAUAAACAUUGGGAGGUUAAAAGCCAUCAAAAAACAAAAAUAAAAGGAAACAGCACACUAGUAAAACACAUAUGCCACAAAUGUCACAAUGGCAAUGUAGAGAGAGCUCAUAGAGUGAUUUGCUGGUAUUUCCAGGAACUGGUGCAGACCCAUGACACUGGUCCUCUUGGACCUCAGCUGGUGGUGGCAUAUAAGUCAGGGACAACCCUUCUAGAAAUAUUUUGGCAGAAUCAAGGAUGUUUAACUAGACAACAUAAAUGUCUUGGAAUUUUCUCUGUGGAAAUAAUUAGAAAUUCAAACAAGAAAUUAUGGGCAAAGAUGAUCCAUAAUGGGAAUGUGGAGUAGCAAAAAACUCAGAAGCCUAAGAUAUUCCAAAAUAGGUGAAAAAUUAAAUAUAUUACACUCCAGCUAUAUGAUUACGCGGCCCUUUAAAAUGGUAUUUUUGAAGAAUGUUCAUGCAGAGCAAAAAGAACUAUAAAAUGUUAUUGAACAGGGGGAAUCCCUGGGUGGCGCAGCAGUUUGGCGCCUGCCUUUGGC